rnacentral:rRNA from 1 species
UACGGAGGGUGCAAGCGUUAAUCGGAAUUACUGGGCGUAAAGCGUGCGUAGGUGGUUCGUUAAGUCCGUUGUGAAAGCCCCGAGCUCAACUUGGGAAUUGCAGUGGAUACUGGCGAGCUGGAGUGCGGUAGAGGAAGGUGGAAUUCCCGGUGUAGCGGUGAAAUGCGUAGAGAUCGGAAGGAACACCGGUGGCGAAGGCGGCUACCUGGCCUAAUACUGACACUGAGGCACGAAAGCAUGGGGAGCGAACAGG